CAUGAUGACACAGCAAGAAGACCCUUGCAAGAUGUUGGCAUCUUGAUCUUGGACUUCCCAGCCUCCAGAACUACAGAUAUGUCUUAAGGAAAGCUGCCAAAGAGGAGACGUGGAAAUAAUCAUCAGAGAUGGAAGAGAAUUGAGAGUGCACGUUGCUGUGCAGUAAAUUUGAGAAGAUAAUAUCUAACCAGGUGAAAUCAAUGCCUUCAGAUGUUGUGGAAAUAUCCCUGAAGAAGAUAGAAAUUGAAGACAAGAAGUUAUCAAUAUCCCAUCAGAUGAAGUGACUGAUGAUGAAAUAGAGGAUCUGGUGUCACUGUUAAGCUCUCCUCAUAACCCUCGGGCAGGAAGCCCUCUCUCAUCAAUGAAAUGAAGAGUUGAUGAUCAAAACAGGAUGACACACAUAAACAGAAUUAAAAAUAAAAAUCAUCUCAA